rnacentral:rRNA from 1 species
ACGGAGGGUGCAAGCGUUGUUCGGGAUUACUGGGCGUAAAGAGCGUGUAGGCGGCUUGGUCAGUCGGAUGUGAAAUCCCGGGGCCCAACCCCGGAACUGCAUCCGAUACUGCCUGGCUUGAGUCUCGGAGAGGAAGGCGGAAUUCCGGGUGUAGAGGUGAAAUUCGUAGAUAUCCGGAGGAACACCAGCGGCGAAGGCGGCCUUCUGGACGAUGACUGACGCUGAGACGCGAAAGCGUGGGUAGCAAACAGG